GCGGAAUAUAGUAUGUAGCGGUGAAAUGCAUAGAUAUACUAUAGAACCCCGAUUGCGAAGGCAGCUUACUAAAUUGUUACUGACGCUGAGGCACGAAAGCGUGGGGAGCGAACAGGAUUAGAUACCCUGGUAGUCCACGCAGUAAACGAUGAUUACUCGAUGUUGGCGAUACACUGUCAGCGUCUGCGCGAAAGCAUUAAGUAAUCCACCUGGGGAGUACGAUCGCAAGGUUGAAACUCAAAGGAAUUGACGGGGGCCCGCACAAGCGGAGGAGCAUGUGGUUUAAUUCGAUGAUACGCGAGGAACCUUACCUGGGCUUAAAUGUAGUGUGCAUUAGCGAUGAAAAUCCUAUUUCUUUCGGGACCCACUACAAGGUGCUGCAUGGUUGUCGUCAGCUCGUGCCGUGAGGUGUCGGGUUAAGUCCCAUAACGAGCGCAACCCCUAUUCUUAGUUGCCAUCAGGUAAUGCUGGGGACUCUAAGAAAACUGCCGGCGCAAGCCGUGAGGAAGGUGGGGAUGACGUCAAAUCAGCACGGCCCUUAUGUCCAGGGCUACACACGUGCUACAAUGGUCGAUACAAAGGGCAGCUACACAGUGAUGUGAUGCUAAUCUUCAAAGUCGAUCCUAGUUCGGAUCGAAGUCUGCAAUUCGACUUCGUGAAGUUGGAUUCGCUAGUAAUCGUAUAUCAGCAAUGAUAGCGG
rnacentral:rRNA from 1 species